GACAGAGGUGGCAAGCGUUGUUCGGAUUUAUUGGGUGUAAAGGGCAGGUAGGUGGCUGUAUAAGUCCGAUGUGAAAUCCCACGGCUCAACCGUGGAACUGCGUUGGAUACUGUAUGGCUUGAGUACCGGAGAGGUAAGGGGAAUUCUCGGUGUAAGGGUGAAAUCUGUAGAUAUCGAGAGGAACACCAAUGGCGAAGGCACCUUACUGGUCGGUUACUGACACUGAGCUGCGAAAGCAAGGGGAGCAAACAGG
rnacentral:rRNA from 1 species